GACCGCUCCAUCUGCUGGAGCGGAGUAUGAGCUGGAGUAGGACCCAUGGAUACAAUGGCCGGAACAUCGGCAGGAGGACCCCUCCGCUGAAGAGGAGGAUGACCCGGAGGAGGACCCAUGGAUACCACGGCUGGACCAUCGGCAAGAGGACCCCUCCGCUGUAGCGGAGGAUGACCCGAAGCAGGACCCCAUGGAUACCACGGCUGGACCAUUGGCAGGAGGAUCCCUACGCUGGAACGGAGUACGAGUUGGAGGAGGACCCAUGGAUACAAUGGCCGGACCAUCGGCAGGAGGACCCCUCCGCUGGAGCUGAGGAUGACUUUGGAGGAUCCCAUGGAUACCACGGCCGGACCAUCGGCAGGAGGACCCCAAUGACCUGAAGGAGGAUCCAUGGAUACUACGGCUGGACCAUCGGCAGGAGAACCCCUCCGCUGAAGAGGAGGAUGACCCGGAGGAGGAUCCCAUGGAUACCACGGCCGGACCAUCGGCAGGAGGAUCCCUCCGCUGAAGCUAGGAUGACCUGGAGGAGGACGCAUGGAUACCACGAUCUGACCAUUGGCAGGAGGACCCGAAUGACCUGAAGGAGGACCCAUGGAUACCACGGCCGGACCAUCGGCAGGAGGACCCCUACGCUGGAACGGAGGAUGACCUGGAGGAGGAUCCAUGGAUACCACGGCUGGACCAUCAUCAGGAGGACCCCUCUGCUGGAGCGGAGGAUGACCCGGAGCAGGAUCCCAUGGAUACCACGGUCGGACCAUCGGCAGGAGGACCACUCCGCUGAUGCGGAGGAUGACCCGGAGCAGGAUCCCAUGGAUACCACGGCCGGACCAUCGGCAGGAGGAAUCCUCCGCUGGAGCCUAAGAUGAGCUGGAGGAGGACUCAUGGAUACCACGGCCGGACCAUCGGCAGGAGGACCUCUCCGCUGAUGCGGAGGAUGACCCGGAGCAGGAUCCCAUGGAUACCAUGGCCGGACCAUCGGCAGGAGGACCCCUAUGCUGAAGCGUAGGAUGACCUGGAGGACUCAUGGAUACCACGGCCGGACCAUCGGCAG